AAUGGCAUUGGUAGCUUCACGCUCUGGUGACGUAAGCAGAGCGUGAAGGUUUUUUAUUUUCCCUUCACUAGUGCUUUACCUAUGGGAGAUACCGAUUUCGAAGGCAAAACUAAAAGUCGAUUUAUUAACUUAUUAGUCGAGAUACGUAUAAACCGAGUGUACCAUACGACAGCCUGAUCUUUCUUCUAUCGAUGCCCGCAUCCACUUUGGCGAUGGUACAUACAUAAAACGCUGAAAUUUGGCGAUAGGCGGGAAGGUGCAAUCCUAAACGGUAUCAUUCAAUUACAUCUUGAUGGUUGCUUUUU